rnacentral:misc_RNA from 1 species
AUCCCCCAGGAAAUUGCACUCUCAGUAACCCUAGAAGCUCCCGAGAACUCCCUUCUUUACUCUCUCACUCCACCAAAUAUCUUCCAUAUAUGUACAUAAACACACAGAAUAUGCAUAUUUAAUAUCUCUUUAUCUCUAUUCACAAGCAUAGGAUAUGGAGAUCACAGUCAUAUCAGCCCAGGGCCUCAAGAGCACAUCUUCAGGUCCUUUCUCCCACCGUCUCCGACCCUUCAUCACUAUCACCAGUUACCCAUCAAUUAACUCAUCAGGCAGCGAUGAUAAGAAGUGCAGAGUGUACAGUACAAGGAUUGAUGAUCAAGGAGGAGUGAAUCCCACCUGGGGUGAUAAAUUUUAUGUCCCUAUAGACACUGCCUUCCUUGCUAACAGAUAUUCUUGUAUAUGCCUUGAGCUCUAUACCAGAAGGCUCGUUAUGGGAAAGGUUCUAUUGGGUUGGUGCCAGAUUCCGGUCACCGACAUUGGGUUCCCGCCGGAGGGUUCAGUUAGGCACCUGAGUUACCGGAUACGGGCCAGAGAUGGUACGAGAGGGCACGGGAUUGUGAAUCUUGCCAUAAAGUUAACAGGUUUUCCAUCGGUAGGAAGUCAAAGAUUAUCGGAUUCAAAUAAUCAAAAAGUUUCAGAAGCUGGUCAGACAGUGAUUGGCAUUCCGGUGACAGUCUUUUCACAUUUAAACAUUUGUCAAAGAUAGUUAGAUUUCAUUAGUUAGUAGAUAGAGAAAAUUAAUGAAGUUGGAAAAUCCGGGCCAAGAUGUGAUUGAACCAACACAAAUGGAAUGGUUGGGUUUUCAUCGCCAGUAAUUGAGCAAUGCUAUCAACUCCCUAAAGAGGGAUUAGAUUCUAUUUUGUUUUUCUGAUCUAUUUUUGUUUUUGUGGCUACAAAAUUUAAAAUUUCUCUUGAGUUUGUAAUCUCUCAUGUUAAUUACGGUUUGAAUUUUAGAACUAGAGUAUAAAUCAAGUAUUAUAUUUAUUUCUUUGUGAUUGUGAAUCUCCUGAUAUCAAUUUACCUUUAAUUGGAUUAUAGAAGGUAAAAUUCACAGUGGAAGAAAAUUAGAAUAUGAUAAUAUUAUAUAUGUGUUUGGAGAAGGGCUUGACCCUUGGUGAAAGAAAGGGACAAUUACAUAGGAAUUAAGGUUGUG